AUGUGAGGGCGAUCUGGCUGCGACAUCUGUCACCCCAUUGAUCGCCAGGGUUGAUUCGGCUGAUCUGGCUGGCUAGGCGGGUGUCCCAUUCCCCACACUUUU